CCUACGGGAGGCAGCAGUGGGGAAUUUUGGACAAUGGGCGCAAGCCUGAUCCAGCAAUGCCGCGUGAGUGAAGAAGGCCUUCGGGUUGUAAAGCUCUUUUGUCAGGGAAGAAACGGUCUACUCUAAUACAGUGGGCUAAUGACGGUACCUGAAGAAUAAGCACCGGCUAACUACGUGCCAGCAGCCGCGGUAAUACGUAGGGUGCAAGCGUUAAUCGGAAUUACUGGGCGUAAAGCGUGCGCAGGCGGUUAUAUAAGUCAGAUGUGAAAUCCCCGGGCUCAACCUGGGAACUGCAUUUGAGACUGUAUGGCUAGAGUGUGUCAGAGGGGGGUAGAAUUCCACGUGUAGCAGUGAAAUGCGUAGAUAUGUGGAGGAAUACCGAUGGCGAAGGCAGCCCCCUGGGAUAACACUGACGCUCAUGCACGAAAGCGUGGGGAGCAAACAGGAUUAGAUACCCUGGUAGUCCACGCCCUAAACGAUGUCUACUAGUUGUCGGGACUUAAUUGUCUUGGUAACGCAGCUAACGCGUGAAGUAGACCGCCUGGGGAGUACGGUCGCAAGAUUAAAACUCGAAAGGAUUGACGGNNGAGAGAGACGACGGACGACGACGAGGGAGGAGG
rnacentral:rRNA from 1 species